rnacentral:rRNA from 1 species
UACGUAGGGUGCAAGCGUUGUCCGGAAUUAUUGGGCGUAAAGAGCUCGUAGGCGGUUUGUCGCGUCGGCCGUGAAAACCUGGGGCUUAACUCUGGGCUUGCGGUCGAUACGGGCAGACUUGAGUUCGGUAGGGGAGACUGGAAUUCCUGGUGUAGCGGUGAAAUGCGCAGAUAUCAGGAAGAACACCCGUGGCGAAAGCGGCUCUCUGGAACGGUACUGACGCUGAGACGCGAAAGCGUGGGGAGCAAACAGG